UACGUGAGGGCGCAAGCGUUGUCCGGAAUUAUUGGGCGUAAAGGAGCUAGCGUAGCGGUUUGUCGCGUCUGCCGUGAAAGCCCGGGCUUAACUCCGGGUCUGCGGUGGAUACGGGCAGACUAGAGGCAGGUAGGGGAGAACGGAAUUCCCGGUGGUAGCGGUGAAAUGCGCAGAUAUCGGGAGGAACACCGGUGGCGAAGGCGGUUCUCUGGGCCUGUACUGACGCUGAGGAGCGAAAGCGUGGGGAGGCGAACAGGG
rnacentral:rRNA from 1 species